GGGGCCGUAGCUCAGUUGGGAGAGCGCUUGAAUGGCAUUCAAGAGGUCGUCGGUUCGAUCCCGAUCGGCUCCA
rnacentral:tRNA from 1 species